AUACGUAGGGGGCGAGCGUUGUCCGGAAUGAUUGGGCGUAAAGGGCGCGUAGGCGGCCCGGUAAGUCUGGAGUGAAAGUCCUGUUUUUAAGAUGGGAAUUGCUUUGGAUACUGUCGGGCUUGAGUGCAGGAGAGGUAAGUGGAAUUCCCAGUGUAGCGGUGAAAUGCGUAGAGAUUGGGAGGAACACCAGUGGCGAAGGCGCCUUACUGGACUGUAACUGACGCUGAGGCGCGGAAGUGUGGGGAGCAAACAGGAUUAGAGACCCUGGUAGUCCACACUGUAAACGAGUAAUGCUAGGUGUAGGGGGUAUCGACCCCUUCUGUGCCGCAGUCAACACAAUAAGCAUUCCGCCUGGGGAGUAAGGCCGCAAGGUUGAAACUCAAAGGAAUUGACGGGU
rnacentral:rRNA from 1 species